rnacentral:ncRNA from 1 species
AUGAUAGAGGUGCAGAUUUCAAGAGUAGGGUGCUGCAGAAAGGCAGGGCAGCCGCAGGACCUGAAAGGGGAAUCUGCCGAAGGGAUUUCUGUCAGCCCAAGUCAGGAUCUCUGGGGUGCGGGAGAAGAUGCCGCACACUGUCACUGGAUGGUGGAGCGCUAUCA